UGGGGAAUAUUGCACAAUGGGCGAAAGCCUGAUGCAGCGACGCCGCGUGAGGGAUGACGGCCUUCGGGUUGUAAACCUCUUUCAGCAGGGAAGAAGCGAAAGUGACUGUACCUGCAGAAGAAGCGCCGGCUAACUACGUG
rnacentral:rRNA from 1 species